AUUGAACGCUGGCGGCAGGCUUAACACAUGCAAGUCGAACGAGUGGCGGACGGGUGAGUAAUGCUUGGGAAUCUGGCUUAUGGAGGAGGAUAACGACGGGAAACUGUCGCUAAUACCGCGUACCAUAGGAUGAGCCCAAGUGGGAUGAGGUAGUUUGUGGGGUAAGGGCCUACCAAGCUGACUAUCGCUAGCUGUUCUGAGAGGAUGACCAGCCACACCGGGACUGAGAUACGGCCCGGACCCCUACGGGAGGCAGCAGUGGGGAAUGUUGGACAAUGGGCGCAAGCCUGAGCCAGCCAUGCCGCGUGGCUGAAGAAGGCCUUCGGGUUGUAAAGGACUUUUGUUAGGGAAGCGGUACCUAAAGAAUAAGCACCGGCUAACUACGUGCCAGCAGCCGCGGUAAUAC
rnacentral:rRNA from 1 species